ensembl:lncRNA
UUUUAAAAAAUGGUAUAUAAUUUAAGUCUUCUCUUUAAUUCCUUUUUUUUUCAGAAGGUCCCCAAAUCACAGUUCAUUUAUUCAACAAAUACAGAGACAACCACUGGAGACUAAUGACAGAUAGGGCAGCAGGAAAUACAUGAAGAUGGACAGUAAUCAAAUGAUUCAAGCAGAUGUAAGCCUGCAACAUGUGAUGAGCAGCAUGAUGAAGGAGGGAGAUGGGGCUCCAGCAGCCCAUAAUCGGAGAAUCUGACCCAUUCGGGGAGACCAGAGAAAUCCUUCAGAGAAAGAAACAAUUUAGCUAAAACCUCAAGAGAAAGAACUAGUUAACCAGGAAGUCACAAAAAGCCCAGCAGUGAGUUAAAAGGAGGAAAAGCUCUGGCUUUCCAAGGGCCCUGAUUUGGAGCAUUGCCAAUCCAGAGUUGCUUCAUUGUCUGCACAAAGCUCUAGGAGAAGCGGGAAGCGACCUGGAUGUUUCUCAGCCAGCAUCCACUUGCGGCCGUCAUCACCCUGGGGACCCCGAGCGUCCCCCGAUUGGACACCUUCUCUUCUGAACAGAUUAGAGCCGCUCUCUCCUUGUACUUUUACUGUGAUCUCCCCGAUUCCUGUCUUCCAUUCCCCAGGGGUUAUGGGCCAUGUUUCCUAAAUCAGUGACCAUCUAUGGGGAGCUUUUGUUCUUCCGACACCCUGGGCCCUUCUGAAUGAAUUCUCCAGGUCACGUGUGCCCGAGUCUUCCGGACCGGGGAGGAGGAGGCUGCGGCCAAGCUGACGCAUAGUUUUAGCCAAGUAAUCGCCACAGUGAGAGGCCGGGUAAGGGCAGCUCCCGCAGGGCCCCGAGCGAGACUGAGGAGCAUGGUGCGGUGCCAGGGUCUAGGUUUUAUUUCCUCUAACAAAGCUUUGUAAUGAGAAGGACUCAUCUUGGUUUGUUGUCCCUUACGUGCUUUCAUCAGCAUAGAAAUGCAGUGGACACGGCACAGACCUCCCAGUUAAGCCCUGCCUGGGCUACUUGUCAGCACAGGGCCCAGCCAGCUUACCCUGUGUCCACGGAUGCUAGCUACUCUCCCGAUAGGGACCGUGCCACGACUCCCUGCUGUGCUCCACGCAGACGGAGUUGACCCCCUCCGGAGAGGUUUCUGACAAUUCAGAGGCCACUCAAACAGGUGCAGGAAGCCAAGUACACGUCUGUAAACCCAGCACUUGGGAGGCUGAGGCAGGAGGAUCCCGUGAGUUCAAGGCCAGCCUGAACUACUGUGUCUCCAACAAAGCAAAAACAGAAAGAGAAGCAGUUCCAAGAGAGAUGGCACUAUCUCUGCUCCUCCACCCCACCCCACAUGCUCUUCCUGAACCUCGGAGCAGAAGUUCACAGCACCACCUUCCCCCAGAUUAAUUUGCCAAGCCAGAAAUGCAAAGGACACGCCUCCUCCCCCAUCCCGACCGCCGUCUCCACCGUCUCUACCGUUCAGUCUGCAGACUGCACUGAGCAGGCGCCGGGAAUGAGCCGUGUGAGGAAAACGGGCUGAGUGUGGCUCGAGACAAAGGGUUUCAGUGAGACAGGCUGUGUGACAGAAGCCUCGGAGAGUGUAGGGAAACGAAUGAAGGACACAGAAGGAGAAGCCCUGGGGAAGGGACAUCGGUUAGAAUUCUUCUGGGGUCAAAGGGGAGGACAGGUGAUGGAAAGAAAGGGAAGAUUCUCUGAAAAAUAAUUUGGAAAAAUUCCUUUAAGUCCAGCAGCAGGAUCCUGGUUAAAUAAAUUAUGUCACUCUACAGAAGAGUGUGAAGCUAUUUAAAAUGAUGCCGCAGAAGGACAGUUAGCGACAUGCACAGAUUCAGGGCAGAACACAACACACUGGCAUUUCUUGCUCAAGGAGAAUAUGAGCCUUUAAUUAGAGCUUGCUUUUCCUGGCAAAGACAGUAUGUAUUAAAAACCUUUUACCCCAAACACACGUUUAAGGAGACAAAGAACUACCUGCUUCCAGGCCAGGGAUUUUAGCUCAGUGGCGCCACCUGCUUUGCAAGCGCAAAGUUCCUGAGUUCGAUCCCCAGUCCCCCCUCAAAAAAAGAACUGCGUGCUUCCUCACAGGAACACAUCCUGGACAACCACAAAGUCAAUCAUUCAGAGAUGUCAAAACUGGGCGUGGUGGCCCCCACCUGUGAUCCCAUCACUGGGGAGGCUGAGGCAGGAGGAUUGCCAUGAGUGCAAGGCCAGCCUGAACUACAUACUGAAACUCUGUCUCAAAAUAAAUAAUAUAUCAG